rnacentral:rRNA from 1 species
GGUUAAGCGAAUAAGCGUACACGGUGGAUGCCUAGGCAAUCAGAGGCGAUGAAGGACGUGCUAAUCUGCGAAAAGCGUCGGUAAGGUGAUAUGAACCGUUAUACCCGACGAUAUCCGAAUGGGGAAACCCAGUAUCCAAUGGAUACUAUCAUUAACUGAAUCCAUAGGUUAAUGAGGCGAACCGGGAGAACUGAAACAUCUCAGUACCCCGAGGAAAAGAAAUCAACCGAGAUUCCCCUAGUAGCGGCGAGCGAACGGGGAGCAGCCCAGAGUCUUAAUCAAUAACAGUGUCAGGAGAACGGUCUGGAAAGUCCGGCAGUAAAGGGUGAUAGCCCCGUAUCUGAAGAUGCUGUU